CCUACGGGCGGCAGCAGUGAGGAAUAUUGGUCAAUGGGCGGAAGCCUGAACCAGCCAAGUCGCGUGAGGGAUUAAGGCCCUGCGGGUCGUAAACCUCUUUUGCCGGGGAGCAGAGGUCCGGACGAGUCCGGGCCGGGAGAGUACCCGGAGAAACAGCAUCGGCUAACUCCGUGCCAGCAGCCGCGGUAAUACGGAGGAUGCGAGCGUUAUCCGGAUUUAUUGGGUUUAAAGGGUCCGUAGGCGGGCAUUUAAGCCGGCGGUCAAAUGUCGGGGCUCAACCCCGGCCUGCCGUCGGAACUGGGUGCCUUGAGUGGGCGAGAAGUAUGCGGAAUGCGUGGUGUAGCGGUGAAAUGCAUAGAUAUCACGCAGAACCCCGAUUGCGAAGGCAGCAUACCGGCGCCCUACUGACGCUGAGGCACGAAAGUGCGGGUAUCGAACAGGAUUAGAUACCCCAGUAGUC
rnacentral:rRNA from 1 species